rnacentral:rRNA from 1 species
CCUACGGGUGGCAGCAGUGGGGGAUAUUGCACAAUGGGGGGAACCCUGAUGCAGCGACGCCGCGUGGGUGAAGGAGCGUUUCGGCGCGUAAAGCCCUAUCGGCAGGGAAGAAGAUGACGGUACCUGACCAAGAAGCCCCGGCUAACUACGUGCCAGCAGCCGCGGUAAACCGUAGGGGGCAAGCGUUAACCGGAUUUACUGGGGGUAAAGGGGGGGCAAAAGGCAAUGCAAGCAAGGAGGUAAGGCCCGGGGGCCAACCCCGGGACGGCUGUUGGAACUGGAGGGCUGGAGUUAGGGAGGGGCAGGCGGAAUGCGUAGUGUAGCGGUGAAAUGCAUAGAUAUUAGGAGGAACUCCGAUGGCGAAGGCGGCCUGCUGGACUGUGACUGACGUUGAGGCCCGAAGGCGUGGGGAGCAAACAGGAUUAGAUACCCCAGUAGUC